rnacentral:rRNA from 1 species
CAGCAGCCGCGGUAAUACAGAGGGUGCGAGCGUUAAUCGGAUUUACUGGGCGUAAAGCGUGCGUAGGCGGCUUUUUAAGUCGGAUGUGAAAUCCCUGAGCUUAACUUAGGAAUUGCAUUCGAUACUGGGAAGCUAGAGUAUGGGAGAGGAUGGUAGAAUUCCAGGUGUAGCGGUGAAAUGCGUAGAGAUCUGGAGGAAUACCGAUGGCGAAGGCAGCCAUCUGGCCUAAUACUGACGCUAAGGUACGAAAGCAUGGGGAGCAAACAGGAUUAGAUACCCCAGUAGUCCCUGUCUCUUAUAC